CGUCCUGGCUUCCGGUUUGGGUGUGGUCGUGGAGUGGGCUUUGCUGCAGGUGAUUGCAGGGAGUGGACUGUUGCGACUGGGGUCUGGCAGAUGUAAACCGAACCAAAUCACUGAAGUGAUUUGUGGAUUAUGGAUUUAGAAAGAUCAGAAGAUAGAAAAAAAUCCCUGAUAUUAGAAGAGAAGAUCAACAUGAUGAGAAGAGGGAUGAUGAAGAGGCAGGUGAAGGUGAAGAAGUUAUAAAAGGCUUGAUGCCACCAUUGUGGAAAACUGCAGUGUGUUACACAUUGAGAGAAACCUUCUGUCUGUCCAGAGUCAUCUGCUAAAUGGAUCAUCCUGAAGAUGUAUAACUGUGUGAGAAAAAUUUUUAAAAAGUGAUGUUGCUUAUUUUCAAACAGUAUUUGCAAGUUUUCUUGAAAGUUUUCUCUUCUGUAUUCUGCUAACCUUCUAACAUGUUGGUGCCCAAAGCAACUGCUAAGCAUCUUGAUAUUCUUUUGGCAUUUCUAUAAAAAGUUAUAAAUGGAUUUUACUUAAAAUAUGUUUGGGUAAUGUGAAUGGAUCUGUAGGAUUUUGGAUUUCUUUUGCAGUUAUUUCAACC